AGGAUGAACGCUAGCGGGAGGCCUAACACAUGCAAGCCGAGCGGUAGAGAGUAGCUUGCUACUCUUGAGAGCGGCGUACGGGUGCGUAACACGUGUGCAACCUGCCUUUAUCUGGAGGAUAGCCUUUCGAAAGGAAGAUUAAUACUCCAUAAUAUAUUGAAUGGCAUCAUUUAAUAUUGAAAACUCCGGUGGAUAAAGAUGGGCACGCGCAAGAUUAGAUAGUUGGUGAGGUAACGGCUCACCAAGUCAAUGAUCUUUAGGGGGCCUGAGAGGGUGAUCCCCCACACUGGUACUGAGACACGGACCAGACUCCUACGGGAGGCAGCAGUGAGGAAUAUUGGACAAUGGGUGAGAGCCUGAUCCAGCCAUCCCGCGUGAAGGACGACGGACCUAUGGUUUGUAAACUUCUUUUGUAUAGGGAUAAACCUACCCUCGUGAGGGUAGCUGAAGGUACUAUACGAAUAAGCACCGGCUAACUCCGUGCCAGCAGCCGCGGUAAUACGGAGGGUGCAAGCGUUAUCCGGAUUUAUUGGGUUUAAAGGGUCCGUAGGCGGGCUUGUAAGUCAGUGGUGAAAGCCUAUAGCUUAACUAUAGAACUGCCAUUGAUACUGCGAGUCUUGAGUGUAGUUGAGGUAGCUGGAAUGAGUAGUGUAGCGGUGAAAUGCAUAGAUAUUACUCAGAACACCAAUUGCGAAGGCAGGUUACCAAGUUACAACUGACGCUGAGGGACGAAAGCGUGGGGAGCGAACAGGAUUAGAUACCCUGGUAGUCCACGCCGUAAACGAUGCUAACUCGUUUUUGGGCUUUCGAGUUCAGAGACCAAGCGAAAGUGAUAAGUUUAGCCACCUGGGGAGUACGACCGCAAGGUUUGAAACUCAAAGGAAUUGACGGGGGCCCGCACAAGCGGUGGAUCAUGUGGUUUAAUUCGAUGAUACGCGAGGAACCUUACCAAGGCUUAAAUGGGAAUUGACAGGUUUAGAAAUAGACUUUUCUUCGGACAAUUUUCAAGGUGCUGCAUGGUUGUCGUCAGCUCGUGCCGUGAGGUGUUAGGUUAAGUCCUGCAACGAGCGCAACCCCUGUCACUAGUUGCCAUCAUUAAGUUGGGGACUCUAGUGAGACUGCCUACGCAAGUAGAGAGGAAGGUGGGGAUGACGUCAAAUCAUCACGGCCCUUACGCCUUGGGCUACACACGUGAUACAAUGGCCGGUACAGAGGGCAGCUACACUGCGAAGUGAUGCGAAUCUCGAAAGCCGGUCUCAGUUCGGAUUGGAGUCUGCAACUCGACUCUAUGAAGCUGGAAUCGCUAGUAAUCGCGCAUCAGCCAUGGCGCGGUGAAUACGUUCCCGGGCCUUGUACACACCG
rnacentral:rRNA from 1 species